rfam:Perkinsus marinus ATCC 50983 gcontig_1104296707880, whole genome shotgun sequence.
GCCUCGGUAGCUCAGUCGGCAGAGCGCGUGCCUUUUAAGCCCGUGGCCGCGGGUUCGAGCCCCGCCCGAGGUG